rnacentral:rRNA from 1 species
GACGAACGCUGGCGGCGUGCCUAAUACAUGCAAGUUGAGCGAUGAAGAUUGGUGCUUGCACCAAUUUGAAGAGCAGCGAACGGGUGAGUAACGCGUGGGGAAUCUGCCUUUGAGCGGGGGACAACAUUUGGAAACGAAUGCUAAUACCGCAUAACAACUUUAAACAUAAGUUUUAAGUUUGAAAGAUGCAAUUGCAUCACUCAAAGAUGAUCCCGCGUUGUAUUAGCUAGUUGGUGAGGUAAAGGCUCACCAAGGCGAUGAUACAUAGCCGACCUGAGAGGGUGAUCGGCCGCAUUGGGACUGUGACACGGCCCAAACUCCUACGGGAGGCAGCAGUAGGGAAUCCUCGGCAAUGGACGAAAGUCUGACCGCGCAACGCCGCGUGAGUGAAGAAGGUUUUCGGAUCGUAAAACUCUGUUGGUAGAGAAGAACGUUGGUGAGAGUGGAAAGCUCAUCAAGUGACGGUAACUACCCAGAAAGGGACGGCUAACUACGUG